UACGAAGGGGGCAAGCGUUGUUCGGAAUUACUGGGCGUAAAGGGCGCGCAGGCGGCCGAUCAAGUCAGAUGUGAAAGCCCCGGGCUCAACCUGGGAAUAGCAUUUGGGACUGGUCGGCUAGAGUUCGGGAGAGGAGAGUGGAAUUCCCAGUGUAGAGGUGAAAUUCGUAGAUAUUGGGAAGAACACCGGUGGCGAAGGCGGCUCUCUGGACCGAUACUGACGCGUGAGGCGGCGAAAAGCGUGGGGAGCAAACAGG
rnacentral:rRNA from 1 species